rnacentral:rRNA from 1 species
GACGAACGCUGGCGGCGUGCCUAAUACAUGCAAGUUGAGCGAUGAAGAUUGGUGCUUGCACCAAUUUGAAGAGCAGCGAACGGGUGAGUAACACGUGGGGAAUCUGCCUUUGAGCGGGGGACAACAUUUGGAAACGAAUGCUAAUACCGCAUAACAACUUUAAACAUAAGUUUUAAGUUUGAAAGAUGCAAUUGCAUCACUCAAAGAUGAUCCCGCGUUGUAUUAGCUAGUUGGUGAGGUAAAGGCUCACCAAGGCGAUGAUACAUAGCCGACCUGAGAGGGUGAUCGGCCACAUUGGGACUGAGACAUGGCCCAAACUCCUACGGGAGGCAGCAGUAGGGAAUCUUCGGCAAUGGACGAAAGUCUGACCGAGCAACGCCGCGUGAGUGAAGAAGGUUUUCGGAUCGUAAAACUCUGUUGGUAGAGAAGAACGUUGGUGAGAGUGGAAAGCUCAUCAAGUGACGGUAACUACCCAGAAAGGGACGGCUAACUACGUG